UCAAAACAAGUAAGCACACCAAUUGAGGAGUUUGUUGUGCUGCGAAUCUAUGAAUUGGAGAGUGCCGAAGGUAUUGUUGAAGAGGAGAAAUUAUAACCAUGUGGAGAGUGCCGAAGGACUGUGCAAAGUAUUUACACAAGAAGUUUCCGGACAGUAGGCAAGUUGGUGAAAACAUGGGCAAAGUUACUAAUACUAAACAUAUUCU